rfam:Daphnia pulex DAPPTscaffold_203_Cont7077, whole genome shotgun sequence.
GUUUCCAUAGUGUAGCGGUUAUCACGUCGGCUUUACACGCUGAAGGUCUUCAGUUCGUUCCUGGGUGGAAACA